rnacentral:lncRNA from 1 species
CUCUCUAUCGGAUACAUCCAUCGAUAUUGUACCGGUCCAGCUAUUUUCACUUCGGUUGCUAGAUGGACCGUCAGAUGAACCAUUACAGUAAAGAAACCGGGAGGAAAAUUUUUCUCAAGAUUGCACAAUGUAUAUAUGAUUCUUUUCUCCCAUCGUUCCAUAAGUUUGAUUUCGAUUACUUUCGAACAAAUAUCGUGGAAAUAUCCGCAAAGUUCAACGAGAACCGAAGUCAC